rnacentral:tRNA from 3 species
GGCAACCUGGCCGAGCGGUCUAAGGCGCCAGGUUAAGGCUUAUCCUGGUCUCUUCGGAGGCGAGAGUUCGAAUCUCUCGGUUGUCA